UAAACGACUCUCGGCAACGGAUAUCUCGGCUCUCGCAUCGAUGAAGAACGUAGCGAAAUGCGAUACUUGGUGUGAAUUGCAGAAUCCCGUGAACCAUCGAGUCUUUGAACGCAAGUUGCGCCCGAAGCCUUUUGGCUGAGGGCACGUCUGCCUGGGCGUCACGC
rnacentral:rRNA from 4 species